CUUGGUAAGCCUUGGUAUGCUUGAUUUGGUUUAGUCUACCCAGCUAAGGUUUAUUUUGACCUUAACUAAGUUAAUUGUUGGAUUAAAUUGACUAUAGUUAACUGGAAGCCGAGCUGGGAAUUUGUCCAACUAAGUCUAAACCGAGUUAGGCCUUGAUCUUGGGUAAGUUACUUCAAAUGGAUUUUUGGACCCUUAAUUCUUUAAAGGUUAAAUUAUUAAAUUUAGUUUUUAUAACUAUUUAGGACAUCGCUGCUUGGAAGGCGUGAUUUUACUGUUAAAUUUUGAUUGAUCUAAUCUCCAGUCAGAGGCAGAGAUAAGAGCAAAGGCAAGCUGGCGAGUGACCAGAAGUGAUCGUGGCGAGCCAUAGGGAUCUUUUGCUUCCGCUUUAUGUCAUUGUUCAGAUUUUAAUGUUUGCAUUUUAUUUUAUUCUUUAUUUGUUAUUUUAUUUCUUUAAAACUAGAUAGGGCCCAAGUUAAGAUUUUAUUUUUGUACUUAUCUCUAAUCACAUUUGUUUAUGCUUUUAAAUGAAAAUUUUGAGGUUUUGUUUUA